CAGUCGCCGCGGUAAUACGUAGGUGGCAAGCGUUGUCCGGAAUUAUUGGGCGUAAAGGGCUCGCAGGCGGUUUCUUAAGUCUGAUGUGAAAGCCCCCGGCUCAACCGGGGAGGGUCGUUGGAAACUGGGAAACUUGAGUGCAGAAGAGGAGAGUGGAAUUCCACGUGUAGCGGUGAAAUGCGUAGAGAUGUGGAGGAACACCAGUGGCGAAGGCGACUCUCUGGUCUGUAACUGACGCUGAGGUGCGAAAGCGUGGGGAGCAAACAGGAUUAGAUACCCGAGUAGUCCCUGUCUCUUAUAC
rnacentral:rRNA from 1 species